rnacentral:pre_miRNA from 1 species
CAGUUGGAUCGAUCAGCAAAAAACGUUUAAAAAUUUUUUGCGACUGUAUCCAAACUACG